AUAUCAAUAAGCGGAGGAAAAGAAACUAACAAGGAUUGCCUUAGUAACGGCGAGUGAAGCGGCAACAGCUCAAAUUUGAAAUCUGGCCCUCGGGUCCGAAUUGUAAUUUGUAGAGGAUGAUUUUGGUGCGGUAUCUUCCGAGUUCCUUGGAACAGGACGCCUUAGAGGGUGGGAGCCCCGUGCGGUUGAAUGCCUAGCCUCUGUAAAUCUCCUUCGACGAGUCGAGUAGUUUGGGAAUGCUGCUCUAAAUGGGAGGUAAAUUCUUCUAAGCUAAAAU
rnacentral:rRNA from 1 species